GCCGGGCGCGGUGGCUCAAGCCUGUAAUCCCAGCACUUUGGGAGGCCGAGACGGGUGGAUCGCGAGGUCAGGAGAUCGAGACCAUCCUGGCUCACAUGGUGAAACCCCGUCUCUACUAAAAAAAACAAAAAAAAAAAAUUAGCCGGGCNNNNNNNNNNGCCCGGCUAAUUUUUUUUUUUUGUUUUUUUUAGUAGAGACGGGGUUUCACCAUGUGAGCCAGGAUGGUCUCGAUCUCCUGACCUCGCGAUCCACCCGUCUCGGC
rnacentral:SRP_RNA from 1 species